GCACAGGACUUGACUCGAAUUUCAAAGUGAAAAUUGGGUCGGGUCCUGUCAGCAACCCUCGUGUUUAGUUGCCACCGUUGAGUUUGGAACCCUGAGCAGACUGCCGGUGAUAAGCCGGAGGAAGGUGAGGAUGACGUCAAGUCAUCAUGC
rnacentral:rRNA from 1 species